rfam:Myotis lucifugus cont2.23110, whole genome shotgun sequence.
UGUGGUUCUUGGGUGACACACCCGGAAUCGAAGAGGAGGGAGCCUGAUUCCGGGGUGUGUCACCCAAGAACCACC